UACAGAGGUCUCAAGCGUUGUCCGGAAUUAUUGGGCGUAAAGGGCUCGUAGGCGGUCUGUCGCGUCGGGAGUGAAAACUCAGGGCUUAACCCUGAGCCUGCUUCCGAUACGGGCAGACUAGAGGUAUGCAGGGGAGAACGGAAUUCCUGGUGUAGCGGUGGAAUGCGCAGAUAUCAGGAGGAACACCGGUGGCGAAGGCGGUUCUCUGGGCAUUACCUGACGCUGAGGAGCGAAAGUGUGGGGAGCGAACAGG
rnacentral:rRNA from 1 species